AUGCCACAGUGCCACAGCUACUCCCUCUGUUCUCCCAUGGCAGGUCUGUGUUCAGCUGGGUACUACUGUGAGGGGGGAGCCACGGAUGCUGUUCCACACGGGACUCCUGGGUUCCCCCUCAGCGGUCCCUGCCCACCUGGGCACUAUUGUCCAGAGGGAACUCCCUUCCCAGUUGCCUGCCCGGUCGGGACCUUGAACAACAGCACAGGUGGUAGCUCUCCAGAGAGCUGUGUGCCGUGCUAUCCUGGGUCUUUCUGUGCUAGCCUUGGUUUAAGUUCUCCGACAGGACCCUGUACUGAGGGGUUUUACUGCCCAGCAAACUUCAGCUCGUUCAGCCCCACAGCAUUCCUUUGCCCUAAGGGUCACUUCUGCCAGUCAGGGGCAGCCCAGCCAGCACCGUGCCCUCCUGGGGAAUACCAGCCAGCCAGCGGCUCUGCGUCCUGCAUUCCGUGCCAGAGAGGAUUCUACUGCCAGGACCUGGUGGCAGGAGACCCCAGGCGCUGCCCACCUCAUUCUUACUGCCCCCCAGGUACACUGAAGCUGGCACGCUGGUUAUGCUGAGGACUCAAACCGUUGAGUCCCCAGAGUUGUACAGGCCCCGUGUGUGUUUUCCUGUAGCAUAGGGGAUGGGGAAGUGACAAUCAACAAAUCUGACGUAGUGCCAUCUGCCUUCCUGGGCAUCAUUUGUUACUCAUUGAUGCGGUUCCAGAGUCAUGUCAGAUCACAGAGGUCUUUCCAAUUACUUUUUUUUUUUCUGUGUUCUCCCUUUCAGGCACACGGUUUCCUCAGACCUGUCCUGAAGGCACCUUUACUCCUCCAAACAUGACUGGCCUCUGGAAUGAGAAGGAAUGCCUGCCUUGCUUACCUGGCCACUACUGCAGGUAGUGACUGUUCAUCUCAAUCUGGUGUUUUUGCACUUUGUCUUAAGCACUUAGGCAUCCUUGUUUUUUGCUGAUAAGUCAAUGCUAAGUUCCUCCCAGCUUCUCUAUCUUCUCUCUCUCAAAGAAUUAAUUAUAAGCCCAGACACAGCUUUUGGGUACAGAGGUGUUGGAUCUGUGAAUUUGGAGAGAGAUCUUGAAGCAGUCUGGCAUUGCCAUGAUGUAAUAAAGGUAAAGGAGCAUCUGAAAGAGAG
rnacentral:lncRNA from 1 species